rnacentral:rRNA from 1 species
AUUGAACGCUGGCGGCAGGCCUAACACAUGCAAGUCGAACGGUAACAGGAAGCAGCUUGCUGCUUCGCUGACGAGUGGCGGACGGGUGAGUAAUGUCUGGGAAGCUGCCUGAUGGAGGGGGAUAACUACUGGAAACGGUAGCUAAUACCGCAUAAUGUCGCAAGACCAAAGAGGGGGACCUUCGGGCCUCUUGCCAUCGGAUGUGCCCAGAUGGGAUUAGCUUAUUGGUGGGGUAACGGCUCACCAAGGCGACGAUCCCUAGCUGGUCUGAGAGGAUGACCAGCCACACUGGAACUGAGACACGGUCCAGACUCCUACGGGAGGCAGCAGUGGGGAAUAUUGCACAAUGGGCGCAAGCCUGAUGCAGCCAUGCCGCGUGUAUGAAGAAGGCCUUCGGGUUGUAAAGUACUUUCAGCGGGGAGGAAGGGAGUAAAGUUAAUACCUUUGCUCAUUGACGUUACCCGCAGAAGAAGCACCGGCUAACUCCGUG